CACAUCACGAAAGUGGAUUGUACUAGAAGUCUGCAGGCUGACCCGCAAGGGAGGGCAGCGGCCCCAAAGGGUAUGAUCCCAUGAUUGGGGGUG
rnacentral:rRNA from 1 species